UAAGGAAGAUGAGUGUGAAAGCGCUCAUCUUUUCUUUUAAAUGAAAUAUUGCUUCGCAAUAUGAAAUAUACG
rnacentral:misc_RNA from 1 species